GGAGAGUACGGCCAAUGGUUGGCAAAUCGUCUUGAAAACGAUCGCAGUUCUUAACUUGGGGGUUCAAUUCCUCUACUCUCCG
rnacentral:tRNA from 1 species